rnacentral:rRNA from 1 species
UGGGGAAUAUUGCGCAAUGGGGGAAACCCUGACGCAGCAACGCCGCGUGAAGGAUGAAGGUUUUCGGAUCGUAAACUUCUUUGAUGGGGGACGAAAAAAAUGACGGUACCCCAAAAACAAGCCACGGCUAACUACGUGCCAGCAGCCGCGGUAAUACGUAGGUGGCGAGCGUUGUCCGGAUUUACUGGGUGUAAAGGGUGCGUAGGUGGUUUCUUAAGUCAGAGGUGAAAGGCUACGGCUCAACCGUAGUAAGCCUUUGAAACUGGGAAACUUGAGUGCAGGAGAGGAGAGUGGAACUCCUAGUGUAGCGGUGAAAUGCGUAGAUAUUAGGAGGAACACCAGUUGCGAAGGCGGCUCUCUGGACUGUAACUGACACUGAGGCACGAAAGCGUGGGGAGCAAACA